UAUGGUGGGAGAAUGUAGGCCUGCAUGCCUUCAAAUGCCCUGUUCACCUCCUUGUUCCGAGUUAUGUUAGUGUUCUGUAUUGAUAGACGCUUUCAACGAAAUUACAUCGCUAGGCAACAGCCUGGCCCCUUGUUAACUUCCUGUCAGUUGAUGCCAUUCAUAUACAGUCAGGAAAUCAACUUGGGUCCAUUUAGA